AUGCACGCUGGCGGCGUGCCUAACACAUGCAAGUCGCACGGAGUCCAGCCUUUAAGACCUUCGGGUCAAAGAGGGGAAGACUGAGUGGCGGACGGGUGAGUAACACGUGGGCAACCUGGCUCAUAGAGGGGGAUAACAGAGAGAAAUUUCUGCUAAUACCGCAUAAGCACACACUGCCGCAUGGCAGAGGGUGAAAAGAGAAUCGCUAUGAGAUGGACCCGCGUCUGAUUAGCCAGUUGGCAGGGUAAGAGCCUACCAAAGCGACGAUCAGUAGCCGAUCUGAGAGGAUGAACGGCCACAUUGGGACUGAGACACGGCCCAAACUCCUACGGGAGGCAGCAGUGGGGGAUAUUGCACAAUGGGGGGAACCCUGAUGCAGCGACGCCGCGUGAGUGAAGAAGUAUUUCGGUAUGUAAAGCUCUAUCAGCAGGGAAGAUAAUGACAGUACCUGAAUAAGAAGCCCCGGCUAACUACGUG
rnacentral:rRNA from 1 species